AGAUACCGGAAGGUGUGCUUGGAAA
rnacentral:rRNA from 1 species